ensembl:lncRNA
AGGAAGUAGUUUUGUUGUUUUUUUUUUAACUAAAUUUUCAUCAACAACCAGAACUCACUCCUCACCACCACAGACAACGUUCCUUACAAAGAGAACUGCUUUGUCUGUCAUAUUCAAGGGAGGCAAUCUCUGGCCCCAUCUCUCCCACUCCUGCAUAUAAGAACAUUAUCAGGUUGAAAUAUCUGAUCUACACACCUCAGAUAAGAGAGAAAAGGAGUAGGCAACCGGGAACUGAGCUGAGGAGAGCCAGGGAGAAGAAAAACUCAGAAGGAGAUAGAACCCAUCAAAAAAAGCCCUACUAUGGCACCAGACCAGGACCACCUCCCAAGAAGGCAGCAGGACCGAGGACGCCGGGUACACAGCACACUCAGAGCUGUCUCCUGAUCUGCUUACCCCUGUCUGGGGGAUGCUCAGCACCUCCUGCUUCCUGUCAACUCCAGCCUGAGGAUGCUAGCGGCCCUCAGUGGUCAGGACUUGCACCACUGCGGGCUCAGGCCUGACCUCCCCAACCCGGAAGCGAAUCCCCAACCCGGAAGCGAAUCCCCAACCCCCACCUUCAUCCCCUUUGUUACUUUACCUUCAUCAGGUGGUUGGCUCACCUCAUAAAAUAUCCAGUUAAAUUUGGAUUUCAAACAAACUAAGAAUCCUUUUUUUAGUAUAAGUGUGUCCCAUGCAGCGUGUGUGUGCUUAUUUGUAACCCUGGCAACCCUGCUCAAAGAGCAUAGUGACUCUGGUCUCGCUCAGCCAACUUAAAAGGCCUGCAAACAGCUUGCCCUGACUACUGGCCUGUGCUUUUUCCCCAUUUCCCCAGCACCGUUCAACACAGAGAAAGAUUAUUAUAUUUUAACUUAACAAAGUGUUAUAUUUGGCGGGGGGCGGGGGGGUGGUGGGCGGAAAUAGAAUUAAGAGAAAUGUCUGGUUGAUUAUCUUGCUCCUUUAUUCCUGGCAGUAGACAUAAAGACCACUUGGACCAGGAGCUGUAGCUCAGCGGGCAUCCUUCUGAUGGAGAUCUGUGAUGUGUCUCCUGUGUGCUGGGUGUGGCCAUCCUUUCCCCAGACAGCGGCCCUCACGACCAGGUGGAAGCCAGCGGUCGGCGCAGCCUGGACCAGUGCAGUGAAAACAAAAGCACUGGGGGCCAGCACCACGGGACCUUUGGUCACUCAGGAUCUCCUCCUUUCUGGGGAAGCAAUGUUCCCCAACCUUGGAGGAGCUGGUCAGGAUUAUUAUUAAACCAGAUGCUUUGGAGAACUGGACCAAAUGAAUCUGGGAAAGUCUAUUCCUUUGGUAAAUCUGCCAGACUACCUUCCAUCACCUUAGACUAAUUGGUUUGAUUCUCAGGAAGCAUGCCUUUUUAAAGGGGCAUCAUUGGACAGGACAGGAUGGCAAAGUUGUACUUUUUUGCCUAAAGCUGGCAUCUUGCUCCUCCUUUCCCCUUAAACUCCACCGGCCCAUGGUCAGUGGCUUCACUGUCCUCCCCAUCUCCCAGGAGAGAAAACUGAG